AUGGGCCAGUGUUACUGGGACCCCAAAGUUGUUCCAUGGGCCAGUGUUACUGGGACCCCAAAGUUGUUCCAUGGGCCAGUGUUACUGGGACCCCCCAGUUGUUCCAUGGGCCAGUGUUACUGGGACCCCCCAGUUGUUCCAUGGGCCAGUGUUACUGGGACCCCCCAGUUGUUCCAUGGGCCAGUGUUACUGGGACCCCCCAGUUGUUCCAUGGGCCAGUGUUACUGGGACCCCUCAGUUGUUCCAUGGGCCAGUGUUACUCAGACCUCUCCUCUGGGACCCUUCAGUUGUUCCAUGUAUUUAAUCUAUACCAGAGCUAGCAGACCUGAUUUAACUAGUCAACUAACCCUGAAACCCUUGACAAGGUGAAUCAGAUGAGGUCGUUCAGGGCUACAACGAUGUUGUGCAACGUCCCAGGGGAGAGGUUGGAGAGCUACGGGGAAUAGGGUAAUGUGGGACAACAUCAGUCAUUCACCAAAUGAUCACCUUCCCACGACAGGCGUCAUCAUCAUCUCUUCAACUUCUUCUCUAACCCCUCCCCUGACCCUUGACCUCCUGACCCCAGGUGAGUCCGUUUUAUCGCCCCCUGGGUCGGGGCCUGGCCUCUCUGAGAAGACAGCCCUGCCUCUUCCUGGUUCCUAGUGUCUGUUUGUUUCCCCGCCAAGGCCUCCCUCUCCCCCCUGGAAUCUGGGGACGCAAACCGGUCUGGAGCCAGACGGUCUACUGGCACUUCAGUCAUCUCAGUCUGGUGGGGGCUGUGGUGAUGUCUGGAGGAAGAGGAGACCCAGCUACUGUUGUCCAUCCUCUCUAAAGCAGCCCCCGUCACCCCUCCCUCCCGGGACUCGGUCCUCUGCUGCAGGGUGUCCUGAGAGGUGAUGAGAAGGUCGUCUUGGCUGUCCAGAGACACUGCAGGGCUGGAACCGGUAUGUCUGCCCGAAUUGCUGGCACAUCUCCCCGUUUUCGAGCUCCUUCUGUGGGGUCCGAUCUGGACCGAGUCCCGGCCCUGCUGCAGCUCCGUGGAGGAUGCGGAGGAGGAUGAGGCCUCAUCCAUGGAGAUCUUUGGGUAGGAGCAGGAGUCGACACCCCCGGGGUACAGGUCCUGGGCGGACUCGGGGCGCCCUCCACUGGGCCUGCAGGGGAAGUGCAUGCGGCGCCUCCGUGCGGCGUUGCGUUGCCUGGUGCUGACCCUGCGACGCUCCUCGUCCUCAGAGCUGGUGGAGGAGGUGGUGGAGGAGCUGGAGGAGGCCCCAGCGGGGGAGGAUGUGGGGCUGGAGAGGGUGGAGUUGUCUCGGGGGCUGGGGCGUGGCAUGGGGUCCAGCCAGAACCCAGAGGAAUCAGAGUCCUCUCCCACCAGGUCCAAUAAGAACGCAGACUGGUGAUGUCGCUGACGACUCCUGGGCAGCAGCGGCUCCGCCCCCAAGGCCUCGGGUGCAGCCAAUGAGGAUGAGGAGGAGCGGUCCGAGUCGCCCAUAGCAGCAGCGGGAUGUACAGGUGAAGCAGCACCAACCAGGACCCCGGCGCCGU
rnacentral:lncRNA from 13 species